GGCUUGUUAGCUCAGUUGGUAGAGUGCUGCACCAGUAUUGUAGAGGUCAUGGGUUCAAAUCCCGUAUGGGCCU